AACAACAGGAUUGCCUUAGUACGGCGAGUGAAGCGGCAACAGCUCAAAUUUGAAAGCUGGCCUUCGGGUCCGCAUUGUAAUUUGUAGAGGAUGCUUUGGGUGAAACGCCAGUCUAAGUUCCUUGGAACAGGACGUCAUAGAGGGUGAGAAUCCCGUAUGUGACUGGAAAUGUUAACCUAUGUAAAGCUCCUUCGACGAGUCGAGUUGUUUGGGAAUGCAGCUCUAAAUGGGAGGUAAAUUUCUUCUAAAGCUAAAUAUUGGCGAGAGACCGAUAGCGCACAAGUAGAGUGAUCGAAAGAUGAAAAGCACUUUGGAAAGAGAGUUAAAAAGCACGUGAAAUUGUUGAAAGGGAAGCGCUUUGCAAUCAGACUUGUUUUAAACUGUUCGGCCGGUCUUCUGACCGGUUUUACUCAGUUUGGACAGGCCACAUCAUUUCGGCGGGCCGGAAUAAAGGCUCUGGGGAAAUGUGGCCUUUCAACUUC
rnacentral:rRNA from 1 species